rnacentral:lncRNA from 10 species
AAUGGGGAAACAGCAUAGCAUUUGGGCCUGAUAGUAAAACAGCAUGAGGUUCCAGUGUCAUACAUUUUUCCCAAGCUGUAGACCAACCUUGCUUUCACUUUUACUCCAUACUAUAUUUACUUGGCUAGGUUUUUUGGCCUUGGGAAGGUCCUUCACCCGCUCUGAACCUCAGUAUCCCCACCUGUAAAACAAAAGAACUGGACAUGUCACUGUAGUUUUCAAACUAUGCUUGAUAGCAGUUCCUUAGCGAAGAGCUUCCCAGCUGGUGUGCCUUGGCAUGAUGACCUCAUUAGCCCUCCCAGACAAGGCCUGUGGUGGGUGAGCCCCCAGGAGCGGUUCCAUUCACAUUUCCUCUCCUUACCUUUGCCUUAAAAAUGGCAUAAUUCAUCCGGGUGUGGUGGCUCAUGCCUGUAAUCCCAGAACUUCGGGAGGCCGAAGCUAGUGGAUCACAAGGUCAGGAGUUCGAGAC